UAAUUAGUUGCUAAACAGUGAAGGCCAAUUAACAGUUGUGCCUCCAGCCAGGACCAUAUCAUCUGAAUUGAGAAACUGUUUCUUCUUUCUGUGAUUCUCCAUAAUCACCAGUAAGAGCCAUCCUCAGAGUCCAAUAUUCAAGACAAGGGACAGGGAAGAGUUGAGAAGAUACUACUUGGAGAUACAGACAGAUGGCCCCACUCUAGACUCUGAAACAGGCUCUGCUUUCAAACAAUGUCUUUAGCUUUCUCUCAUGAUUCAGCCCUUAGACCAGGAGCACUCAUGAAAUAAUUCCAUCAGACUGCAAAAUGCUGCCCUUAAUAGAAAGGCCAAGAUGGGCUUUGGCAUUAGGACUACGUGGUUAGAUCAUUUCUAAAAGAAAAAAAAUGUUGGACUUUGCUGACCAAAUGUCAGGAUUUUUUAACA
rnacentral:lncRNA from 1 species